GAUGAACGCUGGCGGCGUGCCUAAUACAUGCAAGUCGAGCGAAUGGAUUAAGAGCUUGCUCUUAUGAAGUUAGCGGCGGACGGGUGAGUAACACGUGGGUAACCUGCCCAUAAGACUGGGAUAACUCCGGGAAACCGGGGCUAAUACCGGAUAACAUUUUGAACCGCAUGGUUCGAAAUUGAAAGGCGGCUUCGGCUGUCACUUAUGGAUGGACCCGCGUCGCAUUAGCUAGUUGGUGAGGUAACGGCUCACCAAGGCCACGAUGCGUAGCCGACCUGAGAGAGUGAUCGGCCACACUGGGACUGAGACACGGCCCAGACUCCUACGGGAGGCAGCAGUAGGGAAUCUUCCGCAAUGGACGAGAGUCUGACGGAGCAACGCCGCGUGAGUGAUGAAGGCUUGCGGGUCGUAAAACGCUGUUGUUAGGGAAGAACAAGUGCUAGUUGAAUAAGCUGGCACCUUGACGGUACCUAACCAGAAAGCCACGGCUAACUACGUGCCAGCCGCCGCCGUAA
rnacentral:rRNA from 1 species